rnacentral:rRNA from 1 species
GACGAACGCUGGCGGCGUGCUUAACACAUGCAAGUCGAACGGACAGGCCCUGCUUUUGUUGGUUGCUCGUGUGGCGAACGGGUGUGUAACACGUGAGUAUCAUGCCCUUGACUUUGGGAUAACUUCUGGAAACUCGGGCUCAUACCGGAUAGGAGAUACUGCUGCACGGUGGUGGAUGGUAAGUUUCGGCGGUUGGGGCUCGUCUGGCGGGUUAUCAGCUUCUUGGUGGGGUAGUGGCUUACCAGGGCUUUGACGGGUAGCCGGCCUGAGCGGUUUGACGGGCACAAGGGGACUGAGAUACGGCGCAGAAGCCUACGGGAGGCAGCAGUGGGGAACAUGACACAGUGGGCGGAAGCCUGAGGUAGCAAUGUCGCGUGCGGGAUGACGGCCUUCGGGUGGUAAACCACUGUCGCCGGUGACGAAGCGGGAGUGACGGUAAUGGGUAAAGAAGCAACGGCUAACUACGUG